AAAAAAAAUACACCGUCAUUGAGGAGAAUGUAAAAUUCCCAUCUAUUUUAAGACAAAACAAGAUCCCUCAAGAACACUUCAUGCCCACAGUAGGUGCCCUCCCAGGCCCUGGAGAUGCAUUCCCUCUCUCCGACCACUCAAGGCUGACUUCUCCUCUGGAGGGUGAGUCAAGAGGCCUUGAGGUCAUGUGGGCGGGAGGGUAAGGACCACCCCUCUCUCACUGAGGCUGAAGGGUUGUGGGGAAUGUUUUCAGUGGAGUAAGGGGGUUCGGAAUGGCGGAAGUUUGGUUGGAGGUUCCGAACCCCAAAAUCAGGACUGAUAACAGUCUUCUGUAAACACCAUUUGGAAGACAGUGUAAUUUAAACUAUGUGCAUCAUAGAGGACUAGUCAGUCCCUGCCCCCUGCAAAAAGGUCUUGGGGGGGUCGGGGGGGGGGGGGGGCUAGGGCAGGGGCUGCCUGCAAAACUGCCGUCCAGAACCUGGGGUAGCCCUCGGGCUCCUCCACCAGGAAUCUGCCCACAAGGCAGAGAGAUUUAGCAGCAGACCGAGUGGUUCCAAUUGCCUUUACUUUGUCCAAAGGUCUCUGCUUAACAAACAGCACUCAGAGAGGUCAGAGCUCUGACCCCUGCUGAGGACAAUAGGAGGAGUGGAGCAAAGGGCCAUUUGGUGUAGAGGAAAGAAGCAGAAGUCAGAGAGCUUCGACUUCGUGUGACCUUGGACAAGUCAUGUUACCUCUCAAGGCCUUAGCAACCUAUAAAAAGAAGAGGUUCUCCGCAUUACUGAAUACAUAUACCUCCCUGACCCACUUACAGAUUAACCUCAUGCUUUCAUAUUUGCCUUAGUUAAAAGCCCCUUUGGCCUUUUGUUGACUACAUCCUUUCAAAACUUAAGGUCAGCAGGGAAUUUCCCCUAGAUAUAGAAGUUUAUAAAUCACCCAUCUUCAUUAGGAACGCUUGUCAAAAAACCUUCAGUAGAGGACUACUCUCCCAGAAUUCAGCCAACUGUAUUGAGAACGGAUGUGCUCCGAGGGCUGUGGAUCCAGGAAAGAAAAACAGGAGACAAAUGUGUAAAGAAAGAAUUCCAGCACAGUGUGAUGUGCAUAAGGGGCCUUUGUAUGAGAUACAAAGGAAGCCGUACAGGAGCAAUCAGCUAACUCAGCCUAGAAUGCCCAGAGAGCUCCACUCAAGAGCUGAGUGUUAAAGAACGGGCCAGAGUCUCCCUGGCCGGGAGCUUGUGGAAAGCUCAGAAACAUGUAAGUGAUGUAUUCAAGAACCGCAGAUAAGUAGACAGGUAUGCCUGGAAAUAAGCAUGCCAUGCUAAAAGUGGCCAGAGACAGGUCAAAGAGGUGGGCAGGCGCCCACAUGGUGCUGUACCUUUUAGAUUUUGCGGUGGCAUGAGUUGACAACUCUGUAGACCUAGUACCCUGGGGGAGUUUUAGGCAAGGGAGUGAUAGGAUCCAAAUUGCUGUUUGGAAAGAUCACUAAAGGCAGAGACCAGUAAAACAACGUUCAAUUGAUUAGAGUCUGAACUAGAGAAAUAUUGAAUAAAUACAAGAGCCUUUCAAGGAGUCGGCUUAUAUUUUAGAGCCCCUAGCUGUCAGAUAUUAACAUUGCGUAGGCCUCCACCAAAGAAUGGAUCUCCUGGACCAGACUGCUCACUCCACCCUCCAUCAUAGUGGACACACAGAGUAUCCCCAAGUAUAGCUGCUUCCCUUUUUUUCCCCUUCCUUUGCCCUUUCCCCCCUCUUCUUAAAAAUCAUAAGAUGCACACAACAAAACACCAUUUUGAUUAUCAGUGGCAUUGAAUUCUCCUUGCUAUGCAGUGGUAACCACUAUCCAUCCCCAGAACUUUAUCUUCCCAAACUGAGAGUCUGUACCCAUUCAACACUAAUUCUCUGUUCCUCCUUUCCCUUGAGCCUCUGACAACCACCACCCUUCUUUCUAUCUAUGAAUUUGACCACUGUAAUGUACCUAAUGUAAGUGGAAUCAAACAGUAGUUCUCCUCUUGUGUCUGUUGUAUUUUGCUUACCCCAAUGCCUUCAAUACCCCAAUUCACGUUGUAACGUGUCAGAAUUUACUUUCUUUUUAAGGCUGAAUAGUAUCUCAUUGUAUGUAUGCACUACAUUUUGUUUAUCUGUUCAUCCGUUUGGACAUUUGGGGCUAUUGUGAGUAACAUCGAUGUGAGCAUUAGUGUACAAAUACCAGCUCAAAUCCCUGCCUUUACUUCCUUUGAGUGUAUACCCAGAAGUGGAAUUUCUGGGUCAUACGGUAACCCUACAUUUAAUUUUUUUUUUGGUUAAUCAACCUACUAUUUUCCACUCUGGCUGCACCAGGGAACAAGGCUUGCGUGAAAUCACUGAUUUUGUAAUGACGUUUUCCCUAUGAUACACGUUAACUGGAAAACAUUUAGAAAAUACAAGGAAACAAAGUGUAGAAAAUAAAAUCUUUAUUCUAACCACCGAGAUGUACAUUUGGCCAGAAUGCGUGUUAUCUCCAACAUGAAGGGAAGGAGUCAUUUCCCCUAGGAGGAUUCUACUGCAGUGCGGGAGAGUGUGAGCCAAGACAUCAUCAGAUCCUGGCUGUCCCGCCACCCCAGUCAUCAGUAACGUUCACUCAGUGAAACUGGCUUCUGAGCCAUAUUCGUGGGGUGUUCCUGGGGAGGCCCCGGGGGCGACAUGGGCUUGUCCCUUUCUUUCUAGGUCUGUCUCCUCAUCUUUAAAAACCACUUCAGGGUGAUAGGACAAACACAAAAUGUUUGAACAAAGUUAUUUCUCUUCAGGUACGCAUUCUACAAACGCAGCAACUACAUCUCCAGAAUAGAGCUUUCUUGCCCAACCACAGGGAACCCGAAGACGAGGGUCGGAUCCGUCAGAACUGAGCACCCGCACAAGCAGAGCAGAAGUUUCCGCCUUCUUUCAUUUCUCCAGGUUCCCAUUGGCUGGUUCCUACCGUCGAUCCGUUACGUCCUCACUCGGCGCGCGCCGCUCGCCUUCCGGCCUGUGCUCCCAUUGGCCCUCCCUGCCGUCGCUCUGCGCCAGGGGCGUUCCAGAGCCAGCCACUGGGAGUCGCUGAAUUCGGGUUUUAAAAAACGCCGCCAGUGAGUUGGCAGUGCGGGCCCUUGGAACCGAGGGCCCGCGGGGGGCUGCCGAACACUCGCCCGGUCGGGGCACGCGGCCAGGACGUUCCCGGGCUUCUCCCCGGACGCCAGCCUCUGUCCCCCGACCUCGAAGGCAGAGAAGGAGCCACCGGGCCGCCACCCUCCGCGCGUGCCAUGGGCCCGCGCCGCCGGAGCCGCAAGCCCGAAGUCCCGAGGAGGCGCACCGCGAGCCCGGCCGCCGGCCCCCCUCGUCGGGCCCCCUCCUUAGGCGCUUCCUCCCGUCAGCGUGGUCCCCGGAGAUCCCGGAUUCUGAAGGAAAUCCGAACGCUUCAGAAGAGCACGGGCCUGCUGAUAAGGAAGAGCCCCUUUGGCCGCCUGGCAAGAGAGAUAUGCGUUAAAUUCACUCGCGGGGUGGACUUCUCUUGGCAAGCCCAGGCCCUGUUGGCCCUACAAGAGGCCGCAGAAGCGUUUCUAGUUCAUCUCUUUGAGGACGCCUAUCUCCUGUCCUUACACGCCGGCCGGGUCACUCUCUUCCCGAAGGACGUGCAGCUGGCCAGAAGGAUCCGAGGCAUUCAGGAAGGGCUUGGCUGAGCCCCUGCCCCGUCUCUGUAAGCCUUGCUUGCCCACUGCAGAGAGAGCGGCCUCUGGGGAAGAAGCCCCCCUGCCCCAGCCUCUCAUCACCAGGAUGGGAAUUUCUCUGAAGGAAUUGCCAUCCGUGGUCCCUUGCUGUCUCACUUCCCUUUGUUCUCUAGGAAAGGUUUGACUCGGUUUUAGCUUGAAUGCUUGGGAUUCUAUGGCUCCUGCCCUUUUGUACAAUGUUAAAUAAAAAUAUUUAUCUAUUUAAUGUCCAGGCAACACGGGUCUGUUAGAAUUCAGCCUCUGUUUUACAAGGACCAGGUGAUUCAUUUCGAUUAAGAGAAAAGUUUGGCUGUUGAAAAUGCCUUGGUAGUAAAUGUGAUACCUGACUUUCAGGGAUGACACCAAGGCCUCUGUCCGGAGCCAGGAACAGAUCCACGGAGGGCAAGGAGGUGUCUACUCGCUGUCCCUGAGCAGAGCGCAUGUCGCUUUUGUAAUCGGUUCUUUUAAGAAGGACAAGACUGCAUAACUUUUCUCUGGAACAGAGGUAAUAGAUGAGAAAAUCAACAGCAUUCCAAAGGACUGAGAAUUCUUUUUAGAUAAUGAGACUCCAAGGUUCGCUUCAAUUUGCAAAUGAUUCACAUGACUGCUGAAUGAUUUUGAAGACCUCAGACUUUCUAGGCUAUGGAAAAAAAGAUAUUUACCUAUUAUUUUACGUCUUCCUGUACCAUUUACGUUUCUUGCCAUAUGUAUAUUUACUUUUCUUUAAAACAUAAGGGAAAAAUAUAAAAGGCGACCACUUGAGUCAGUUGCACGAAGAGCCCAGCACGUCCAUGCACUAAUCCGUCCCUCGGUUAACCUCACCCCGGAGCGGGGCCGCAAGGGAGGCGUGGGCCACACCUGCCGACAGCUGGGGAGCUUUUUAAAAACUCAACUGGGGUUAAAAUAGCAAGUCUUAAGUCCUGUCGUUCUGAUUCCUUUGAGUAAAUUCCUGUCAAACUCAUUCAGAAAUUCUAAAUUCCGACUUGUAGAAUUUAUUUUAUUCUUCUUUGUAAAUCAUAGAUGACAUAUCAUGAUUUAUACUUUAGAAUUUUUCAUCUCGGGAUUUUAAAGUGCCUUCUCAAAGUUUUUACAGAUGUCUUAUCACUUCUUUGUGGAAAGAUAAUAAAAUUAAUUCUUUAAUGAAAAAACUGUAAAGCAAAGUUACAGUUACUGCAUAUGGAGAUGCUACGUUUUUUGUGAGUUACUGUUCAGUUCUCCAUUUGUAAGACAAGCGGGACAAGCAGGCUCCAUUUAAACAAGAGAAUGGAGGGAUGUGUUUCGGGCUCCAGUAGAGUGUGAACGGGUGAAAACCUUACACUUCUGUUGCAACCGAAAGCAGUUAAAGAGAUUUCCAGAGAAAUGGAAAGGGCCACGGGAAGACUUUUAGACUUUGCGUGUGAUGGAAAUGAUUAGCAAGGGUGGACCUCUGACAGUGAUGUGUGGGGCGACCAAAUUUGGAGAAGAACUGAAGGGAAGGACCAAGUUCUGUUGUUGGAUAAAUUUUAACCCCUUGGAAAAACCUCUUCCUGUUCAACAUCAAGUCCUAUUUAUACAGACAUUCGAAUAAAGUGUAUCUACUGUGAAUGUAUUUAAA